rnacentral:tRNA from 1 species
GUCCGGGUAGCUCAACUGGAAAGAGCACCGCCUUGCGAAGGCGACGGUUUCGAGUUCGAGUCUCGAUCCGGACACCA